UACUCCCGCCGGCGACCGGCGCACGGGUGAGUAACACGUAUGAAACCUGCCCGUAGCAGGGGGAUAAACGGAAGAAAUUCCGUCUAAUACCGCGUAACAACCCGAGGAGGCAUCUCCUCGGGUUUAAAGGAAGCGAUUCCGGCUACGGAUGGUCAUGCGUCGCAUUAGCUAGUUGGCGGGGUAACGGCCCACCAAGGCGACGAUGCGUAGGGGUUCUGAGAGGAAGGUCCCCCACACUGGUACUGAGACACGGACCAGACUCCUACGGAAGGCAGCAG
rnacentral:rRNA from 1 species